GAUGAACGCUAGCUACAGGCUUAACACAUGCAAGUCGAGGGGCAGCAUGAACUUAGCUUGCUAAGUUUGAUGGCGACCGGCGCACGGGUGAGUAACACGUAUCCAACCUGCCGAUGACUCGGGGAUAGCCUUUCGAAAGAAAGAUUAAUACCCGAUGGCAUAGUUCUUCCGCAUGGUAGAACUAUUAAAGAAUUUCGGUCAUCGAUGGGGAUGCGUUCCAUUAGGUUGUUGGCGGGGUAACGGCCCACCAAGCCUUCGAUGGAUAGGGGUUCUGAGAGGAAGGUCCCCCACAUUGGAACUGAGACACGGUCCAAACUCCUACGGGAGGCAGCAGUGAGGAAUAUUGGUCAAUGGACGAGAGUCUGAACCAGCCAAGUAGCGUGAAGGAUGACUGCCCUAUGGGUUGUAAACUUCUUUUAUACGGGAAUAAAGUGAGGCACGUGUGCCUUUUUGUAUGUACCGUAUGAAUAAGGAUCGGCUAACUCCGUGCCAGCAGCCACGGUAAUACGGAGGAUCCGAGCGUUAUCCGGAUUUAUUGGGUUUAAAGGGAGCGUAGGCGGACGCUUAAGUCAGUUGUGAAAGUUUGCGGCUCAACCGUAAAAUUGCAGUUGAUACUGGGUGUCUUGAGUACAGUAGAGGCAGGCGGAAUUCGUGGUGUAGCGGUGAAAUGCUUAGAUAUCACGAAGAACUCCGAUUGCGAAGGCAGCCUGCUGGACUGUAACUGACGCUGAUGCUCGAAAGUGUGGGUAUCAAACAGGAUUAGAUACCCUGGUAGUCCACACAGUAAACGAUGAAUACUCGCUGUUUGCGAUAUACAGUAAGCGGCCAAGCGAAAGCGUUAAGUAUUCCACCUGGGGAGUACGCCGGCAACGGUGAAACUCAAAGGAAUUGACGGGGGCCCGCACAAGCGGAGGAACAUGUGGUUUAAUUCGAUGAUACGCGAGGAACCUUACCCGGGCUUGAAUUGCAACUGAAUGAUGUGGAGACAUGUCAGCCGCAAGGCAGUUGUGAAGGUGCUGCAUGGUUGUCGUCAGCUCGUGCCGUGAGGUGUCGGCUUAAGUGCCAUAACGAGCGCAACCCUUAUCGAUAGUUACCAUCAGGUUAUGCUGGGGACUCUGUCGAGACUGCCGUCGUAAGAUGUGAGGAAGGUGGGGAUGACGUCAAAUCAGCACGGCCCUUACGUCCGGGGCUACACACGUGUUACAAUGGGGGGUACAGAAGGCAGCUACACGGCGACGUGAUGCUAAUCCCGAAAGCCUCUCUCAGUUCGGAUUGGAGUCUGCAACCCGACUCCAUGAAGCUGGAUUCGCUAGUAAUCGCGCAUCAGCCACGGCGCGGUGGAUACGUUCCCGGGCCU
rnacentral:rRNA from 1 species